rnacentral:rRNA from 1 species
AGAAUCAACGCUGGCGGCGUGCCUAACACAUGCAAGUCGCACGAGAAAGGGUAGCAAUACCUGAGUACAGUGGCGCACGGGUGAGUAACACGUGAAUAAUCUACCUCCGAGUGGGGAAUAACUGAGAGAAAUCUUAGCUAAUACCGCAUAAUACCCACGGGUCAAAGCAGCAAUGCGCUUGGAGAGGAGUUCGCGGCAGAUUAGUUAGUUGGCGGGGUAAUGGCCCACCAAGACGAUGAUCUGUAUCCGGCCUGAGAGGGCGCACGGACACACUGGAACUGAAACACGGUCCAGACUCCUACGGGAGGCAGCAGUGGGGAAUUUUGCGCAAUGGGGGAAACCCUGACGCAGCAACGCCGCGUGGAGGAUGAAGCCCCUGGGGUGUAAACUCCUUUCGAUCGGGAAGAUAAUGACGGUACCGAUAUAAGAAGCCCGGCUAACUUCGCGCCAGCAGCCGC